AGAGCGAACGCUGGCGGCAGGCUUAACACAUGCAAGUCGAGCGGAUGUAGCAAUACAUCAGCGGCAGACGGGUGAGUAACACGUGGGAACGUACCUUUUGGUUCGGAACAACACAGGGAAACUUGUGCUAAUACCGGAUAAGCCCUUACGGGGAAAGAUUUAUCGCCGAAAGAUCGGCCCGCGUCUGAUUAGCUAGUUGGUGAGGUAAUGGCUCACCAAGGCGACGAUCAGUAGCUGGUCUGAGAGGAUGAUCAGCCACAUUGGGACUGAGACACGGCCCAAACUCCUACGGGAGGCAGCAGUGGGGAAUAUUGGACAAUGGGCGCAAGCCUGAUCCAGCCAUGCCGCGUGAGUGAUGAAGGCCCUAGGGUUGUAAAGCUCUUUUGUGCGGGAAGAUAAUGACGGUACCGCAAGAAUAAGCCCCGGCUAACUACGUGCCAGCAGCCGC
rnacentral:rRNA from 1 species